rnacentral:rRNA from 1 species
GAUGAACGCUGGCGGCGUGCCUAAUACAUGCAAGUCGAGCGAACAGACGAGGACCUUGCUCCUCUGACGUUAGCGGCGGACGGGUGAGUAACACGUGGAUAACCUACCUAUAAGACUGGGAUAACUUCGGGAAACCGGAGCUAAUACCGGAUAAUAUAUUGAACCGCAUGGUUCAAUAGUGAAAGACGGUUUUGCUGUCACUUAUAGAUGGAUCCGCGCCGCAUUAGCUAGUUGGUAAGGUAACGGCUUACCAAGGCAACGAUGCGUAGCCGACCUGAGAGGGUGAUCGGCCACACUGGAACUGAGACACGGUCCAGACUCCUACGGGAGGCAGCAGUAGGGAAUCUUCCGCAAUGGGCGAAAGCUUGACGGAGCAACGCCGCGUGAGUGAUGAAGGUCUUCGGAUCGUAAAACUCUGUUAUUAGGGAAGAACAAAUGUGUAAGUAACUAUGCACGUCUUGACGGUACCUAAUCAGAAGGCCACGGCUAACUACGUG